rnacentral:rRNA from 1 species
AUUGAACGCUGGCGGCAGGCCUAACACAUGCGAGUCGAAUGGUAACAGGAAACAGCUUGCUGUUUCGCUGACGAGUGGCGGACGGGUGAGUAAUGUCUGGGAAACUGCCUGAUGGAGGGGGAUAACUACUGGAAACGGUAGCUAAUACCGCAUAACGUCGCAAGACCAAAGAGGGGGACCUUCGGGCCUCUUGCCCUCAGAUGUGCCCAGAUGGGAUUAGCUAGUAGGUGGGGUAACGGCUCACCUAGGCGACGAUCCCUAGCUGGUCUGAGAGGAUGACCAGCCACACUGGAACUGAGACACGGUCCAGACUCCUACGGGAGGCAGCAGUGGGGAAUAUUGCACAAUGGGCGCAAGCCUGAUGCAGCCAUGCCGCGUGUAUGAAGAAGGCCUUCGGGUUGUAAAGUACUUUCAGCGGGGAGGAAGGGAGUAAAGUUAAUACCUUUGCUCAUUGACGUUACCCGCAGAAGAAGCACCGGCUAACUCCGUG